CGUGUAGGCUGCUCCAAAAGUCGGAUGUGAAAGCCCUGGGCUCAACCUAGGAAGUGCAUUCGAAACUGCGGAGCUUGAGUCCUGGAGAGGAAGGCGGAAUUCUCGGUGUAGAGGUGAAAUUCGUAGAUAUCGAGAGGAACACCGGUGGCGAAGGCGGCCUUCUGGACAGUGACUGACGCUGAGACGCGAAAGCGUGGGGAGCAAACAGGAUUAGAUACCCUGGUAGUCCACGCCGUAAACGAUGGGUGCUAGGUGUCGCGGGCUUUGACCCCUGCGGUGCCGUAGCUAACGCAUUAAGCACCCGCCUGGGGAGUACGGCCGCAAGGCUAAA
rnacentral:rRNA from 1 species